UCGAGCGCGCCGACAAACCAGACCGCGGCGGCGCCACAACCGCCUAUAUGGCUAACACGCGCAAAGCCGUAGCCGAACUAUCAGAAAAAUAUCUACCAAACAGCCACAGCACCGACCAAAACCCCGUCACCCUAAAAAGCGUCUGGCCCCGCAACGAGCUAGACCUCGUCCCCCACAUGCUCUACGAAUCCAACCACCUAUCGCUGACCGAAAUCGAAAAAGAAGUCAGCACCUGGCCCAUAGAACGCAAAAUAGAAGUCUAUGAGACCUACGUGGGCGAACGCCUAAACCGCCGCCACAAACCAGGCCGGGCCCUAGAAAUAGCCCACUAUA
rnacentral:misc_RNA from 1 species